UACGAAGGGGGCUAGCGUUGCUCGGAAUUACUGGGCGUAAAGCGAGUGUAGGCGGUUCGAUAAGUCGGAUGUGAAAGCCCCGGGCUCAACCCGGGAAGUGCACUCGAUACUGUCGAGCUAGAGUAUCGGAGAGGUUGGUGGAAUUCUCGGUGUAGAGGUGAAAUUCGUAGAUAUCGAGAGGAACACCGGUGGCGAAGGCGGCCAACUGGACGAAUACUGACGCUGAGACUCGAAAGCGUGGGGAGCAAACAGG
rnacentral:rRNA from 1 species